AACGAACGCUGGCGGCAUGCCUAACACAUGCAAGUCGAACGAGAUCUUCGGGUCUAGUGGCGCAUGGGUGCGUAACGCGUGGGAAUCUGCCCUUUGGUCCGGAAUAACAGUUGGAAACGACUGCUAAUACCGGAUGAUGACGAAAGUCCAAAGAUUUAUCGCCAGAGGAUGAGCCCGCGUAGGAUUAGCUAGUUGGUGUGGUAAAGGCGCACCAAGGCGACGAUCCUUAGCUGGUCUGAGAGGAUGAUCAGCCACACUGGGACUGAGACACGGCCCAGACUCCUACGGGAGGCAGCUGUGGGGAAUAUUGGACAAUGGGCGAAAGCCUGAUCCAGCAAUGCCGCGUGAGUGAUGAAGGCCUUAGGGUUGUAAAGCUCUUUUACCCGGGAUGAUAAUGACAGUACCGGGAGAAUAAGCUCCGGCUAACUCCGUGCCAGCCGCCGCAGUAA
rnacentral:rRNA from 1 species